CUUUUGCAGCACUUCCUUAAAAAAUUUUUUCUUUUGCCUGUACAUGUAUGUCUAUUCCAAAAAGAAAGAAAGAAAGAAAUUUGCAAAGGAAAGAGCCGGGAGACAGAGACAUAGAAGACUGCAGUGGACUGAGCCAGGAUGGGUGGGUCCAGGCCACCUCUGACGGAUGGCUUUCCGGCGAUUUGAGUGAUGGGCCAUCCGGCAGCACCUUCUCAGAGAUCUACAGGAGCUCCCAUCAGUCCGAUUUCUAGCCCAGUGCAGACCCAUCUGUCCAAUGAACUUGCAGCGUCACCUACUCUGGGCCAGUCACUCUGCCAGCACUGAAGAUGGAGCAGUGAACAAGACAGACCAAGUCUGCCCUCCUGGCGCCUACAGCCCAGAUGCGAAACACCUGAAAUGGUGUUGCCCAGAGAGGAGCAGCCGCCCGGGUUCCACAUCGGCGUCGGCUGGCUGACCCUGGACCUGGAGGUCGGCCACAGGGGAUGCUUCAGGCUUCUUCAGAGCUUCCAGACCCAACUUCAUGUGCCCCCACUGCACAUCCAUCCUUUUUUUUAAAAAAAAU